rnacentral:rRNA from 1 species
GCGGCAAGAGCUCAACUUUGGAAUCGCUCCGGCGAGUUGUAGUCUGGAGGUGGCCACCACGAGGUGUUCUAGCAGCAGGCAAGUCCUUUGGAACAAGGCGCCAGCGAGGGUGACAGCCCCGUACCUGCUUUUGCUAGUGCUUCCUGUGGCCCACCGACGAGUCGAGUUGUUUGGGAAUGCAGCUCUAAGUGGGUGGUAAAUUCCAUCUAAGGCUAAAUAUUGGCGAGAGACCGAUAGCGAACAAGUACAGUGAUGGAAAGAUGAAAAGCACUUUGAAAAGAGAGUGAAACAGUACGUGAAAUUGUUGAAAGGGAAGGGCUUGCACCCAGACACGGUUUCGGCCGGGCCAGCAUCAAGUAGAACGGGGUUAAAAGACCUGGGGAAUGUAGCUACCUCUUGGUAGUGUUAUAGCCCUUGGGUGAUGACCCCUGUUUUGCUUGAGGACAGC